rnacentral:rRNA from 1 species
CGCGCCUAACACAUGCAAGUCGAACGGAGCUUAGAGAGCUUGCUUUUUAAGCUUAGUGGCGAACGGGUGAGUAACGCGUGAGUAACCUGCCCUAGAGUGGGGGACAACAGUUGGAAACGACUGCUAAUACCGCAUAAGCCCACGGUGCCGCAUGGCACUGAGGGAAAAGGAUUUAUUCGCUUUAGGAUGGACUCGCGUCCAAUUAGCUAGUUGGUGAGGUAACGGCCCACCAAGGCGACGAUUGGUAGCCGGACUGAGAGGUUGAACGGCCACAUUGGGACUGAGACACGGCCCAGACUCCUACGGGAGGCAGCAGUGGGGGAUAUUGCACAAUGGGGGAAACCCUGAUGCAGCGACGCCGCGUGGAGGAAGAAGGUUUUCGGAUUGUAAACUCCUGUCGUUAGGGACGAUAAUGACGGUACCUAACAAGAAAGCACCGGCUAACUACGUGCCAGCAGCCGCGGUAAAACGUAGGGUGCAAGCGUUGUCCGGAAUUACUGGGUGUAAAGGGAGCGCAGGCGGGAAGACAAGUUGGAAGUGAAAACCAUGGGCUCAACCCAUGAAUUGCUUUCAAAACUGUUUUUCUUGAGUAGUGCAGAGGUAGAUGGAAUUCCCGGUGUAGCGGUGGAAUGCGUAGAUAUCGGGAGGAACACCAGUGGCGAAGGCGGUCUACUGGGCACCAACUGACGCUGAGGCUCGAAAGCAUGGGUAGCAAACAGGAUCCGAUACCCUGGUAGUCCAUCCGGUAAACGAUGGAUUAUUAGGUGUUGGGGGAUUGCCCCCCUCAGUGCCGCAGUUAACACAAUAAGUAAUCCACCUGGGGAGUACGACCGCAAGGUUGAAACUCAAAGGAAUUGACGGGGGCCCGCACAAGCAGUGGAGUAUGUGGUUUAAUUCGAAGCAACGCGAAGAACCUUAUCAGGUCUUGACAUCCGAUGCAUAGCACAGAGAUGUGUGAAAUCUUUCGGGACAUCGAGACAGGUGGUGCAUGGUUGUCGUCAGCUCGUGUCGUGAGAUGUUGGGUUAAGUCCCGCAACGAGCGCAACCCUUAUUGCCAGUUACUACGUUAAGAGGACUCUGGCGAGACUGCCGUUGACAAAACGGAGGAAGGUGGGGAUGACGUCAAAUCAUCAUGCCCUUUAUGACCUGGACUACACACGUACUACAAUGGCGUUAAACAAAGAGAAGCAAGACCGCGAGGUGGAGCAAAACUCAAAAACAACGUCUCAGUUCAGAUUGCAGGCUGCAACUCGCCUGCAUGAAGUCGGAAUUGCUAGUAAUCGCGGAUCAGCAUGCCGCGGUGAAUACGUUCCCGGGCCUUC